AUUGAACGCUGGCGGCAGGCCUAACACAUGCAAGUCGAACGAGUGGCGGACGGGUGAGUAAUGUCUGGGAAACUGCCCGAUGGAGGGGGAUAACUACUGGAAACGGUAGCUGAUACCGCAUACCAUCGGAUGUGCCCAGAUGGGAUUAGCUAGCAGGUGGGGUAAAGGCUCACCUAGGCGACGAUCCAUAGCUGGUCUUAGAGGAUGACCAGCCACACGGGAACGGGGACCAGGUCCAGACUCCUACGGGAGGCAGCAGUGGGGAAUAUUGCACAAUGGGCGCAAUCCUGAUGCAGCCAUGCCGCGGGUAUGAAGAAGGCCUUCGGGUUGUAAAGUACUUUCAGCGAGGAGGCGUUACUCGCAGAAGAAGCACCGGCUAACUCCGUGCCAGCAGCCGCGGUAAUAC
rnacentral:rRNA from 1 species